UGGAGCUGCUCCCUGAGCAAGGGCUGGCUCAUUUGUGCUGCUGGAGUGACAAAUAAUGGGAUUUCACCGACUGUUCUGCUUCCCCUUGUGCAUGUACAGGACUGAAAGGAAGCUUUCAGUAGUGCCAGUGAUCUUCCUGCAGAUAGAUCCAUAAGUGCAGACUGGAGCUCCAGUGGCACGGGUGGAUGGAAGCACUUCUGUAAGAAUGGUCGUUCCUUCAAGAGACUCUUCUGAAGCCUGGUUUGAUUUGGAGGGGGGAAAAAGGGUCAAGAUAACAGAAAACUUCCAGUAAGUCGGGUACCAGCAGCUCCUGGAGAUGGUUUUGGCCACUGAGCAGCAGAUCCAUCUGUUCUCCUGUUUUCCAGGCGGACAGGAAUUUCUGCCAGGCCAGCCCUGAGCCAGGCAGAAGCUGUGGCAAUAUGGAGCAGAAUUUGGUUUCAUGUUAGCAGGCCUUUCAGGAGGUUUAUUGACUCCAUUUCUCUCUUGUGCUAGGUUAAUCCAUGCAGCUUCCAGCUGAUCUGGAGUGAUGAGUGCUUUUGUCUGCAAAACGCUCUCCAGACACAUUCCUGAGGCUGCCAGUAAACAGAACCACAGGUGGAAAGUGUGACUGCUGAAGGAAAAGAGUGGGUGAAAAGGUGAUUGUUAGAGCUUGGAGCCCCAGAGAAAAGAUUGAACAAAAAUCCAAAUCAGUUUAAAAGCAGAUUGAGACCAAGACUGGGAGAAAAUAACCACUUCCAAUUUCCAAAAGGAUGCCAAUAUCUUACAGACACUCAGUGAGAGGACUUGGCCAGUCAAAGUUCUGGGAGCAGAAAAUCCCAUUGUUCACAAGAUUAGUUUGCCAUCCAAACUGAUGUAUAUUGAGCAUUGUCGACCUCAUUCAAAGCUGAAAACUCUUUGUGCAUUAAUUAUGAAAUAAAUCUUGCUUCAGUGUUGUAAGUAGCACUUCAAUACUGUCACCAUCUCCAGGCAGAGGACCCUGCAACAGAGCAGGUUAAAAUGAGAUAAUCCAAGUUUACUGUGCCUAAACUGGGCCUUACACAUGAAAAUGAGAGAAUCCAACUUUACUGUGCCUAAACUGGGCUUUACAGAUUAAAAUGAGAGAAUCCAAGUUUACUGUGCCUAAACUGGGCCUUACAGAUUAAAAUGAGAAAAUCCAACUUUACUGUGCCCAAAACUGGGCCUUACAGAUAAAAAUGAGAUAAUCCAAGUUUACUGUGCCUAAAGCAGGGCUUUACAGAUAAAAAUGAGAGAAUCCAAGUUUACUGUGCCUAAAGCAGGGCCUUACAGAAACCUUUGAGCAGCGGGUUUUGAUCUCUGGUGUUUGCUGGUGAUGCCACCUCUGUCACCUUUUACUGGUUUCACCAUUUUAGAGAAAUAUUCAUGUGAUAAAUGGGAUUUCCUCCUUCCCUGGCCCCCUCCAGCACUUAAUAGUGAACCAGAUAACUGCUUUACAGUAGGAGAUUAAUAGAAAAUAUGAACUACUUCUGACCCACAGGUUCAUACUGAUAUUUCAGAAAACUUGCAGAAUUAACAGCAUCGUUUGUAUAAAGAUCUGUCAGGAAAAGAAUUUGUUUAUUGUGUAGAAAAAUUGCAUGUAGAAAAUACAUUUUUGUGGCCUUGUUUCUUAAUAUACACAUAAAAACUUUCUAUUUCACUGUUUUGGUUGCUUUGAGCAACAUGAUUAAACUAGAAUUUUGCAUAUCAAAACUAACUUUUACAGUGUUUGGGGGGAUGAGGUGAAAAAUGUGCAAGUCAAACCUACCUGCCUUGGACAAUGGGGAACAAAUAGAUAUUACAGAAGGAAUUGAUAAAUUGGGCUGCUCAUUUGGAUUAGUGACAAAUGACACUUGAGUGGGAAUCACUGCAAUAAAUCCAGAGGGACACUGUUCAAAAUACCGUCCUUUACCGUGAAGGCUUUAUCAAUUUCUCUGUAUUUAGAUAUAACGCUGAAUAAAACCAAUCUAUAUUUGUAACCUUGGGUUAGAAACAUAGAGAUAGUGCUGUUGUCACCAUUUAAUCCUGGUAAUGCCCACACAGCCAGAAUGUGAUGUGGCCAGAGCCUUGAGAUGUGUCUGUUCAGCUCUUUCCUGCUAGAAAUAUCCUCACCAUGUAUGAGAUGGAGCACAACAAAUCUUCCUCUCUGUCUUCUGCUCCUUCUCCUGCAUCCUGUCAGGACAUGUCCUUGCUCCAGGCCUGGUUUCAAUCAACUUUUUCAUUUUGGAAGCAGCAGCAGAGUGUCCAGAGGCUGGUGUAGUCCCAGGGAAUUUUCCUGCUCCCUGCUCUGAGGUGUGUCCUUUUCCCAGGAAGGGAAAGGCACAGUCCCUCCCCAAGCUGCAGGUUCUCAGCACCACGUUGUGCCUUUCUUUCCCAGCAGAAGAAAGCAGAAAUGAGAGUUUCUGGCACCUGGUUAUUCAUUUGUUUCCCUGGAACAGCUGUAACCCUGGAGCUCCUGUGUCCUUCUCUUGGGAUGUGACACAGAACAAACUGUCCUGCUUUGGCCCAUUUCAACAUGAAUCCAUCCUCUGCUCAACAGCAAGAGCUGCAGAAAUAUCUAAUGAAUGGCAGGGGUCAGAUAUUGGAGGUGAAUUUGAAAUAAAAGGAAUCUGGAAACUAACCAGGCAUUGCACAAACAGCAAUUUGAGAUGAAUCUUUUUCUCUUCUAAGGGAAAAGAAAGACCCUGUCUGCAGGGAGAGCCCAGCCUCGCUGCAUGAUGGGUUUGAACCAGAAUGGAGAGAAGAGAGGAAUUCCUCAGGGUGUGCUCUGGCAGAAUUAUGAAAUAAAUAUUAAACUAUCCUGGGUGGGAAUACUUUUCUCUGUUACAAAUGGUUUGAAACAUUCUUAGGGUUUUUGGCCAACUUAAUACAUAAUCCUUUACUAUAAUGUCCUUGGCAAAGAAUGUGCUUCAGCUUCUGUCUUGUUAGAAGAUGCUGCUCCUUUCAAAACUGAUUUAUUUUAGUUUGGUGAGGCACUUUAGUUUGGAUGCAGUGCAGGGGUGCUUGUGGUGGUGCUGGGUUAUGGUUGGACCAGAUGGUCUUUAAGUUCUUUGAACCUUGUUGAUUCUCUGAUUUGUAAUCUGUGAGUGAUGCACAAUGACUUUAUAAUUGUGUGCAGCACUGCCCUGGAUGGCAGAACCCUACAUUAAUGCUAGCUGUGGGUUUAUUAGCUGCCUUAUUAUUCAUGGAAUAUCAUCUUUUAAUAUUGUGUUGCUUAAUCCAGAAAUCUCAUGGUUUUUCAAUGGAUUAAUCCAGAAAUCUCUUGCUUUUUCAAUGGAUUAAUCCAGAAAUCUCUUGCUUUUUCAAUGGAUUAAUCCAGAAAUCUCAUGAUUUUUCCAAUGGAUUAAUCCAGAAUUCUCCUGGUUUUUCCAAUGAAUUAAUCCAGAAUUCUCCUGGUUUUUCCAAUGGAUUAAUCCAGAAGUCUCGUGGUUUUUCCAAUGGAUUAAUCCAGAAGUCUCCUGGUUUUUCCAAUGGAUUAAUCCAGAAGUCUCCUGGUUUUUCCAAUGAAUUAAUCCAGAAGUCUCGUGGUUUUUCCAGUGGGUUCCACCCUGGGGCUGCAGUUACAGAGGGACAGUCAGGCCCAUGAGGAGGGCUCUGUGUUAUUUGGGCUGAAGCUGCACCUCAGGACUGCUGAAUCCUCCCAGGUCUCUCCAAGAGAGAAAAAGUCUCUGAAAGCAAAUGGACACCACAAACAGGCAGGGUUAAACCAGUAUAAUUCUUUAACUCCCAAAAGGAUCAUGAGAAAUGAUGUUUUUACUCUAAAAAAGUGGGAGCUGAGUUGGAAAGGAGUUGUUGCAGUUUUGGAGACCGGAGUGUUUGUGUGCUGAUGUCAACACAACAAAAGGUCUCCAGUCACAACAAUGAAAAAUCCCACUGGCACUGUUGUCUCAGCUUUGCAUUAGCAUCUUGGCUCAUCAUUCAGAGAUCUGGAGCAGAGAAUAAGAGUUUUCUCCUUUGAGUUAAGGUUAAAGAGCAAAUUCUCAACACAAAUGUUUCAUAUAAAAUUGUUUUGGUUCUGGUAAAUCUGAGAAUAAACAAAUCCUAUCUCUA